CAGACAUCUGCUCCAGCCUAUUCUUAGAUUGCUGCUCCAAGACAUAGGAAAUGAGAGAGUAGCUCUGGGCUAUAAUUGAAGGGCUGGUCUUACAGAUGAUAAAAGCCCAAGGCCUGCCCAAACACAGCUUUCUCAGGAAUUGCCAGAACCCAGAGGCUUACAUCUUGAAAUCUCUCCAGACUGUUCCCCAAGAAUCUUUUUCUGCACCCCUUACUUGUCUCUUAUGCUGCCUCUUCAGAAAACAGAAAUCAGAAAAGGCUCUCCCUCUACCCAUUGCAAAGAACAAGAAAUGUCUCAAAGGACAAGAGGGAAACUGGAGAAAGCCUUAUGGAAGUCAUGCAACCCAAAGGCAGCAUAGCAUGGUAGACAAGGACUAAAUGAAAGAGACAGAGGAACUAAAAUGGUAGCAUGAUUCCUUGCUGAGAUUGACUGGCAAUUCCACCCACGAUGCUUUGUCAUGGGUAGACUGCAACUAGGUAAAGUCAGAAGUGAACCAAAUAAUCACAAAAAAAGUUGGAAUGGAUCUUAGAAGCCAUCUCUUGAAUAACACCCUUAAUACAACACACCUAAAAAGUGAUUAUACCCUCUUUUUCCUCCAGUGAGCAAGAAGCCAUUACUCCCUAAAACAGCUGGUUCCAUGUUUGGAGAGCUCUUAUUGUUGGGAAGUUUUUCCUG
rnacentral:lncRNA from 1 species